GCACUACUGACUAGUCCCAAAUAGGACGAAACAGCUGUCUAGUAC
rfam:Echinostoma caproni strain Egypt genome assembly, scaffold: ECPE_scaffold0007988